rnacentral:lncRNA from 1 species
UUCUCGAUGCGUUUUUCGGCGAAAUUCGCCGACGGAACGCGAUUUCGGUUCGAAUUUCUUCCGAUGGUUCCUCACUGUGAUUUACGUUAUCGCCUUAUUGGCUGGUCACUUGUGUCGUUUUGACGGUUCGGAGACGACGGGUGAGUGACGUUGGGUUUCGGUAUCGAAAUUGACACUUUUGGGUAUCGGGAUCGGAAUGAUUAUCCGACGAUAAUCGUUUCGAUGUGAGUAUACGUGUUUGCCACCAGGAUACCUUAAUUAUAGUGUUGAGUGGUAGCGGGUGACUCGUGACACAAGUCGGUGAGUUCCGGGGCACUUCGUGGGUCCCGGCGGAGUCCCAAUGUGAUUUUUGGGACUUCCGGCGAGUUACGGUAAUCAGUUUUGGGAAACCGAUUUUACAGGUGGGAUUGUAAGUUAGUGUUUCUCAUUUGUGAGUUAGAUACUAAUCUGGUGG